UACGUAGGAGACGAGCGUUGUCCGGAGUUACUGGGCGUAAAGGGUGCGCAGGUGGCCGCGCGCGUGGGGAGUGAAAUCGCCUGGCUUAACUGGGCGGGGGCUUUCCAGACGGCGUGGCUUGAGCCACAGAGGGGGGCGUGGAAUUCCUGGUGUAGCGGUGAAAUGCGCAGAUAUCAGGAAGAACACCCGUGGCUAAGGCGGCUCUCUAGUACGGUACUGACGCUGAGACGCGAAAGCGUGGGGAGCGAACAGG
rnacentral:rRNA from 1 species